rnacentral:rRNA from 1 species
GACGAACGCUGGCGGCGUGCUUAACACAUGCAAGUCGAACGGAAAGGCCCUGCUUUUGUGGGGUGCUCGAGUGGCGAACGGGUGAGUAACACGUGAGUAACCUGCCCUUGACUUUGGGAUAACUUCAGGAAACUGGGGCUAAUACCGGAUAGGAGCUCCUGCUGCAUGGUGGGGGUUGGAAAGUUUCGGCGGUUGGGGAUGGACUCGCGGCUUAUCAGCUUGUUGGUGGGGUAGUGGCUUACCAAGGCUUUGACGGGUAGCCGGCCUGAGAGGGGGACCGGCCAAAUUGGGACUGAGAUACGGCACAGACUCCUACGGGAGGCAACAGUGGGGAAUAUUGCACAAUGGGCGGAAGCCUGAUGCAGCAACGCCGCGUGCGGGAUGACGGCCUUCGGGUUGUAAACCGCUUUCGCCUGUGACGAAGCGUGAGUGACGGUAAUGGGUAAAGAAGCACCGGCUAACUACGUG